GGAUUUUUCAUAAAAAAUCACAUAAAAAUACAAAUAAAAAUAUAUAUAAAUUUCAAUAAAUAUUAAUUAAUUUCAAUAUAACGCGUAAAAAUUGAUUAUAAUAUCAUAUAACACAUAUAUAUGUAAAAGAGAGGAACUAUGAAGGGGUGUUCGAGUGAUAAUGCAUACGUGUAUCUCAUGUUUAGAUGCAGGUUUAAGUAGUGGAGUCACUAUUAAUGGGAAGAGCCUUAAUAUAAUUGCACCUUAAUCCGAAUUUUCCAUUCAAUCGUAAAACGAGGAUAGAAGGAUAUAGGAUAUUCCAAAAAAGAAAGGGUAUGCAAGCUAAAAGGGUUUUGCCUCCAUCGUAUCUUGCUAUGAACAAGGCAAACCUUGAAAUUUAGUUAGCCUUCAAUGAGAAUUUGGCAACUUUCUUCUAGCUAACUUCUCAAGGUGCAUAUUAAAGAAACCCUUGCAUGCAUCAACUAGGUAUGCAGUUUUCGCACUCUAAACCCUAAAUUUCUUUCUUUUGCUUCUCAUUCACUAUCUUUUUAAUAUUUAUUUUUUAAAUUCUUAUAGCUGGAUUUAAGACCUAUAAAUUUAAAGACAAUUUUCGUAACAUAUUGGUUCAGUGGUUACUAUAUUAAAACAACAAAAGAAGAAGAUAAAUUUUGCCAUCGUCAUCAGUUACCUUCUGCAUAUGCCAAGGCCAAACAACCAUAUAUAUGGUGAUCCAUUUCAGAACGCUUCUUCUGCAAAUGAAUGGCUAAACAAGUUCAAAAGAAUUUAGAAUACGAGUUCUAAUUAUUUAAAAAAUCGAACCUGCAUUAUUUCCAGGUCGUACUGUAUAAUUGAUGCAGCAUCUAUGUCUUUUCAAUUUUCAAGAAAGAGAAUGCAAAAUACCAAAGCUAGACAACAAUUGGGACUUCACAGCAACCAACCCUUUUUUUUAUCUACUUUGUGGACUUAGAGAACCCAUUUUUGAGCUAAUUAAUCACAUCUAAUCAUUAAGCACAAGAUUAUACAUAGGCCUUGGCAUAUCCUUGAAAUAGACUUCAUAUUAACCACAUCCUUUCUCUAGAACAUCCUCCAUCAUAUUUAUCUAAUCACAUCUAAUCAUGUCGCUUAAUUAAGAGCACAUGUAGACCAGUAAUGAUCACCUGCAUCAUCUCCUCUUUUAAACAUAACGAUGUGAUUAAUAUCUGAUAACAAAAUGUAAACGAUAAAACAACUGGACUAUAUACAUCCACAAAAGAGCAAAACCCUAAAAGGAAAAUAUAAAUGAAUCAAUCAUUUUAACAAGGUAAUGAAAUAAUUGGUGUCUACACUGUCCCAAUCCCCCAGAUAUGCCUUUGAUGAUGCUUUAGAAACACUAAUUAUACAUUAAUAGUCGACUCCUAGUUAAUUUAUGUGGUGCAAAACAAUUAGACGUACUAAGAAUAUAUAGGGUUGAUAGAUAGGACAAACUUCUAAAAAAAAAAAAAAACAUAUUUUGUAUGAAUUAUUAAACUUUGAAGGGACAAAAAGAUUAACUAUUAAAAACCCACUUAUGUACAAUUGAUGUUGCACAGAAAAGGGUCUGCAGCUAGGGUUUAUAUUUGGGGAAUAUUUUGAAGAAAUUAAAAAAAAAUAAUUAAAGAAAAUAAUUUGAGCCAACUAAGAAGCUGCAAAAAUAGGAAAUAAAGUAUGAAUUAUUAAGGAUGACAUCAUAUUUCUGAUGAAAUACAUCACUGGUUUAUGUCUUAUAUUGUUUGUCUGCGAAUCUCUGGUAACCAACAGUGUAUUAGAAUAUAUUUCUCCAAUUCCGAUCUCCUUAGGAGAAUGAAAAGCUAAUAACAAACUAAAUCAGUAACAUCCUAUCAAAGAUUAAAAUAACUAUAUAUCGAGAAAUAUUUAUAUAUGUGGCAAGGUAGCAUUAACAACU
rnacentral:misc_RNA from 1 species